rnacentral:misc_RNA from 1 species
UGUUGAUAGCAACAAAAUGGCGCUUGUAAAGCCUCGGCGCCUCGAUCGAAGCGAUUAUGCAUUUGCUGAACAGGGUUUACAGACUCAUGUGUUAGAUAUCUUAGGAUCGCGAGAAAAUGAAGUCGAUUUAUUUAGGCCAUCAUUGGCAGACCAACACAAGGUUGGUUUCUUUACGUUGGACAGAUGUUCGCAAACAGAUGUCACAGAGGUCGUCGACCUCAAGCAGAUGACAGAAAUUAUACAAAUACUUCUACAGGAUGUGACAAACCUAAGGAGGGAUAUAAACUUUGCCAAACAUGUGAUGCAGGCUGACUAUGAGAAAAAACUACAAGAGAAAGCUCUGGAGUUAUACUGUCGCAUCAACGACAAGGUAACCCAGCUGGAGAGGAUGCAUGAAGAUAGGGUGGACACUGUACGACGAGCAUUCAGACAGCAGUUGGCUGACGCCAUUGCCCGCAUAUCAGUACUUUACAGUAAAAAUAUGGAAAACAAGAUCCAGCGUGAGAAAUCAAAGCGUGCAAGUGACAAAGACAAACUUGGGGAACAGUACAAAGAGAUGCAGGCCACAAUACAGAGAAGUGAGCAAGUGAUCGCCAUGUUAAAGAUGCAGCUAUCCCACUACCAGCAGCAGCAGCACAACAACAUGGAGACGGAAAGUCCGGCCCCUUCAGACAGACCGUCCAAUCGGACGCCUUCGUCAUAUGUGUCUUCGAAGAAAGAUUCCUCCAAGGCUCCUCACACCCCUCCUGCCCCUCAUACCCCUCAUACCCCUGCACCUCCAACCCCCGGGAUCCCUGUAAUGAUCCCUGUCCCUAGCCCUUCACCUGUACCAACCCAGACAUUACAGCCACCCUCCCCCCACCCUGCUCCCAGGGCACCCCCUACCCCCCGACAAACACCUGUGCCCCAGCCUCCACCAGCACCGGUCACUGUGGUAGAAGAACUGUCCAUCAAGUCCAAGUCUCCAGACAUCAACCCAGAGCUUGAGGACCUACGAGAGGAGGUGAGCGGGAUGUCAAGGAAAAUAAACAAACUGGAAAAAACCAUUGAUACCAAGGAGGAGAACAUCACUGGGCUAAAUCAGGAAAUAGCAAAACUAAAGGAGCUUAUUGAGAACGAGAAAGCAGUGUCGGAGAAGUUUAAAAAGGAGACAGAGGAUAUGAAAGCCAAUGCUGCACAGGAACAGGCCUCAUCAAAAAGACUUGCAGAAGAAAUGGGUUCAGGAAUGGCCAAGCAGAAGGAGGAAAUGAAGAGGAUAAUGGAUGAGAGGAUGAGAGAAGCACGUGAAGAGGCCUUGUUACAAGCACAAGAGGAGGCCAACAAGAUGAAGGAUGCAGAGCAGAACAAACUCCAGAUUUUGCUCGAUCAGAAGAAACGACUCGAGGAGAUGCUGCUAAUGGAAAAGAAGAAAAACAGCCAGAAGUCACAGCAUGAGCUUGACACUGAGAAAUUCAAGAAGAAUGAGGACAGGCUGAGGGAUGAAAUCAAUAGACUCAAAGGAGAAAUAGAAAAAAUCCAUAAAAUUUGGGAGAAGAAAUUUGCCAUCCUUCAGCAGAGUAUGCACGCGCUGAAGGAUGAGAGCUAUAUUCGUCAAACUCUCCAGAGGCAAGCUGCUACCCUUCACCAUGCUUCUGUCAGCUACGCGGCGGACACACCUGUUGGCAUUAUGGCCUCCAGUAAAAACGCCGCCGCCAUGAAGAAACCAGUCAUACCCGAUAUUCACAAAAAAACUGCAGGACAGACACCUAACGUACAAGGGGCUUCGGCUGAUAAAGAUUACAUUUCUUACACAGUAUCCGCCCCUAGUGGACGGGGUACUGCAAUGAUGUCAGUCGACGAGCACCAGGUGAUGUCCGACGGGGAACAUGAACUUCCAUCAGAUAUUGCUCCACUCCCUGAUCCACCAGUAAGGAAAGGACGUCGGUCUCGGCAGAAACAGCAACUGAAGGAGGAUCUAAAUGAGGAGGAGGUGGACAGUCGGCCGACCUCCCAGAGUCACGUCGUUGUGGUACCAUCACAGGCUUAGCUAGAGUAAAGGUGUAUGCAUCUUGUGAGAGACUGGACCAUUCGGGGAAAGGAAAUCAACAUUCCUUUUAAUAAUUAUAUACAGGAUCAAAUUUUCACGCGUUAUCUGGCAUUUUGAGUUAAUCACUUAUAUUUGUAAUCAUUUGAGGAAAACUAAAGAGUUAAGUAAGCAUUAUUCUAAAAACAAUAUCCUCCAACAUGAACUUCGAUUAUAUGUUUAUGACGAUCCUGCUCAGUUACCAGUAUACAUUCCUUUAAGUUAUUGCGAUUUAUUUGAAACAAUCGCCAGAUUGUAGUGCCAACUACGAAAACGUGCAUGCACGAAUAUUGUUUUCUACCAGACAAGUAAAUGUACAGUGUGCAAAUGGAUUGUGUGUGUUGAUCGUCGACAAGAUAUUGGUACAGUGCUAGACACCAUGAUAUUUACUGUAUAUUGGACAUAUUUUGCAAUAACAGUUACCGGCUAAAUGCCGUUUUUCCGUGUGUUGUUGACAAUUGGUAGACAUGUGUUUUGAUACGAUUUAUAAUAUGUGUUGGAAUGGUGCGUUAUUUAACUCGUUUUAAUCCAUUCGAUGUCAAAAGUAACCUUUAAUUUGUUACUGUCGUUUUAAUCCAGGAAAUUUUAUUAUUUAUGGUUUGUAUGAAUUGAAAUCUCCAUUUCAAGGAAAAUGAAGAUAAAGAUUGCAUUGAAUUUAAAACUGCAUUAUUAGCCAAAUAACAUAAAUGUUGUAACUGCGUGUGUAUAUGUACAGUGUAUGCAUGUAUCAUAGUGACCAAAGAACAAUGAUGAAAUACCAUACAGACAAGAAAUACAAUAGAACCUGAACAUUUUUAUCGAAUACGUAAUAAUUAUAACUUUUCAGCAUUUAUGGUGGAUUUUGUUCAUAUAUAAGUGAACAUUAUUCUACAAUUUCCUGUUGAUUUAUUUGAAUGUACAUUUUAAAUGUAAAUAAAAAAGAAAUGUUGUAAUGCCUACAUGCCUAUAGGAUUACCUACUUAUUUUCUUAAAGAAGUAAGGUUUCUCCAGUACAGAUCUGUUCUCGGUCGCCUGUUCGAGGAACAGAAAAUAAAUGAUAUAGCCCCGACGUGGGCGUGGCCAUGAUCGUGGGACAGGUAAAAGCUUGCCAUUUAUUUCACACGUGUGUUAGUAUGCUGGUAUUUAACACUGGGGUUCGUCCGGGGUCCUACAUGGAUGAAACACAUCCAAACGAAAUUAUAUGCGUUUUGGUAUAUUUUUUACCCUUUAUGAAUAGUUUUUGGGGAAAUUAAUUUGUGUAAACAGGUGUGUAUGAGUUGUGUUUGACACUAUCUUUAGCUGUGAUGCCUAGUGUACUGGUUAUAUAAUUAUAUAUAACCUACAGGCUGAUAGUACCCUGGUAUAUGUACACGUUAUUUACUGUACAAUGAUAGUACCCUGGUAUAUGUACACGUUAUUUACUGUACUAUGAUAGUGUAUUGGUUGUUAUAUAAUUAUAUAUAA